UACGUAGGGUGCAAGCGUUGUCCGGAAUUAUUGGGCGUAAAGAGCUCGUAGGCGGUCUGUCACGUCUGCUGUGAAAACUCGGGGCUUAACCCCGGGCCUGCAGUGGGUACGGGCAGACUAGAGUGCGGUAGGGGAGACUGGAAUUCCUGGUGUAGCGGUGAAAUGCGCAGAUAUCAGGAGGAACACCCGUGGCGAAGGCGGCUCUCUGGGACGGUACUGACGCUGAGACGCGAAAGCGUGGGGAGCGAACAGG
rnacentral:rRNA from 1 species